rnacentral:rRNA from 1 species
UACGUAGGGGGCAAGCGUUGUCCGGAAUCAUUGGGCGUAAAGCGCGUGUAGGCGGUCCGGUAAGUCGGCUGUGAAAGCCCCCGGCUCAACUGGGGAGGGUCACGCGAUACUGAUCGACUCGAAGGCAGGAGAGGGUAGUGGAAUUCCCGGUGUAGUGGUGAAAUGCGUAGAUAUCGGGAGGAACACCAGUGGCGAAGGCGACUACCUGGCCUGUUCUUGACGCUGAGGCGCGAAAGCUAGGGGAGCAAACGGG